rnacentral:rRNA from 1 species
UGCAGUCGAGGGGCAUCGCAGGUAGCAAUACUGGGCGGCGACCGGCAAACGGGUGCGGAACACGUACGUAACCUUCCUUUAAGUGGGAGAUAGCCCGAAGAAAUUCGGAUUAAUACCCCAUAAGAUCAUAGAGUGGCAUCACUUAGUGAUUAAAGAAUUUCGCUUAAAGAUGGGCGUGCGGCUGAUUAGGUAGUUGGUGAGGUAACGGCUCACCAAGCCAACGAUCAGUAACUGGCGUGAGAGCGCGACCAGUCACACGGGCACUGAGACACGGGCCCGACUCCUACGGGAGGCAGCAGUAAGGAAUAUUGGUCAAUGGACGGAAGUCUGAACCAGCCAUGCCGCGUGAAGGAUGAAGGUCCUCUGGAUUGUAAACUUCUUUUAUAUGGGAAGAAACCACUUUUAUCUAAAGGUGUUGACGGUACCAUAGGAAUAAGCACCGGCUAACUCCGUGCCAGCAGCCGCGGUAAUACGGAGGGUGCAAGCGUUAUCCGGAUUCACUGGGUUUAAAGGGUGCGUAGGCGGAUUGGUAAGUCCGUGGUGAAAUCUCCGAGCUUAACUCGGAAACUGCCAUGGAUACUAUUAGUCUUGAAUAUUGUGGAGGUUAGCGGAAUAUGUCAUGUAGCGGUGAAAUGCAUAGAUAUGACAUAGAACACCAAUUGCGAAGGCAGCUGGCUACACAAAUAUUGACGCUGAUGCACGAAAGCGUGGGGAUCAAACAGGAUUAGAUACCCUGGUAGUCCACGCCCUAAACGAUGAUUACUCGACAUUUGCGAUAUACAGUAAGUGUCUGAGCGAAAGCAUUAAGUAAUCCACCUGGGAAGUACGACCGCAAGGUUGAAACUCAAAG